CCUACGGGGGGCAGCAGUGAGGAAUAUUGGUCAAUGGGCGUAAGCCUGAACCAGCCAAGUCGCGUGAGGGAUGAAGGUUCUAUGGAUCGUAAACCUCUUUUAUAAGGGAAUAAAGUGUGGGACGUGUCCUGUUUUGUAUGUACCUUAUGAAUAAGGAUCGGCGAACUCCGUGCCAGCAGCCGCGGUAAUACGGAGGAUCCGAGCGUUAUCCGGAUUUAUUGGGGUUAAAGGGUGGCUAGGCGGCCUUUUAAGUCAGCGGGGAAAGUCUGUGGCUCAACCAUAGAAUUGCCGUUGAAACUGGGAGGCUUGAGUAUGUUUGAGGCAGGCGGAAUGCGUGGUGUAGCGGUGAAAUGCUUAGAUAUGGCGCAGAACUCCGAUUGCGAAGGCAGUAUACCGGCGGCGAUCUGACGCUGAGGCACGAAAGCGUGGGUAUCGAACAGGAUUAGAUACCCCUGUAGUC
rnacentral:rRNA from 1 species